CGUAUUGUAAUUGGUCAUGUGUAAACGCCUAAAGGCGCUCAAUAAUCAUGCCGAUCAAACGCGUCCUUCAUUCGGAAACAAGGAAACUUCUUCGACGUUUCAAGAUGCGUACAGCUAAAAAGGGUAAAGACGAAGCCAAUCAAGAGGUCUGCAAUAUAGAUGCAAGCGAAGCGAAAUCCUUCUUGGAGAAGAUCUUGGGUGAUGUGAGCAAGUCUUCGGCAACUAAGCAAAUCAUCAUUGGCAGUACUUCGGGAUGGGUAACUGGAAUUGUCACUGUAAAAAUCGGGAAGGUAGCAGCUUGUGCAGUCGGUGGUGGAAUUCUCAUAAUGCAAAUUGCUGCGCAUCAAGGUUACAUAAAUAUUAAUUGGGACAAAAUCUCGAGAAAGGCUGAAAGUAUCACAGAUAAGGUGGAAGAAAAAAUUACUGGAGAGGGACCAAGUUUCACAGAUAAGGUACGAAAACUAUGGAGCCGGAACUCACUUGUUGCCACAAGUUUUCUUGGUGGCUUCAUUAUUGGUCUAGCUUGGUGAAAUAAGAAAACAGUAACUUUGACGCUUUGUGUGAAAAUAUGCACAAGUGCUUAGUUGAGAGAUUCGUCGACAAAAAGCUGGACAAAGCUGAACGAUUGCUGAGGCAAGGGGAGACUCGUACGCGGCGUUGGUACCAUGCGUUUAU
rnacentral:misc_RNA from 1 species